CGGGAGCCAGGAGCCUGGCCUAGCAGACCAUCCGUGAAUGUUUGUUGAAUGACUGAAUGAAAUACGGCACUGGCUGUGUUUCACACACUCAGUCAGCCCAGUGUUUCUGGCAUAAGUCCCACCCGCCACCCGCUGUCUGCCAGCUCAGCCUCUGGAUUUCCACAUCUGCUGCUGCUGCCAGGAGUGACAGGCCCUGGGGGAGGUAGUUCCCGUCUUCAGAGCCAGGGACAGGCAGAGGCUGCCAGGACACGAACUUCCUUCACACAGUAGAGUCAGGCUGAGUUAUUCUCCCGGACUGGUCAGUCAAAUUCUUGGGCCCUUGGGCAAGGACCCCAUCCAGGAGUGUCUGGCUUCGUCUGCUCAAACGCCUGCUCGACUGCCUGCCUCAGUGUCUCCAUUGGAAGCUGCUCUGAGUUUGAAAGGAGUCAUCUGGGCUGGUUUCGUCAGUGCAUGGAGGAGAGGAGCUGCCUGGAAGCAUGGGCAGGCUCGGGCCCCAGCUGGAGACAGCCUGCAGGCCUUGGCUGAGUCAUUUCCCGCAGGCCUCCUCGUCCCCCUAGAGGCUGUGGGAAGGCCAAGGUGGAAUGUGCUGGGAAGCAGGAAUUGUGAGCCAAAGGAGAGCCAAUGCUGGCCUGGGCUGGUUAUCCUGCCCGACACCUUAAUCCAUUUUCUCCUUCCUUCACACACUCAUCUGUUUGGUGGACAUGAUGUUUCUUUUGUUUGUUGCUUUGUUUUUGUUUUGUUUUCUGUUUUUGUUGUUAUUGAGACAGGGCCUUACCCUGUAGCCCAGGACGGACUCAAACCCACAGUGAUCCUUGCCUUGGUCUCCUGAGUCCUGGGUUCACAGGUGUACACUACCUUGCAAGCCCGUGUCACACAUAACCCUGGUGUCAGUGUAUCCAGAGGGAACCUGUGGUGGCCAUGUAAGGCAAGAAUGAUCUGGAGGGGUCGGAAGCUCCGGGACCCCUCAGGCAUGUGUCCUCAGGGCCAGCAAACAGGAAACCAAGGCCCUGGGAAGGGGAAGAGACCUGCGUUAGGACACAAAGCAGAUGGAGGCCUGUCUAUCUCCAGCCCGAAGAUGUGAUGGCAAGCAAGCGCAAGACAACAUCAAAUACAAGAACUCCAAACCCCUGCCCUGCCAUUAUCGGCCUGUGUGGCCCCAGGCUGCUUAUUCUAUGACUCUGUGCCUCAGUUUUCACUUCUGUAAAAUGGGAGGAAAACCAACCUUACAUCAUGACUUAAAGAACUGGUAAAGCAAUGCUGAGCCUGGACCAGUGACUCACACAGUCCUUCUUCCCACAGGGAGGCUUAGUCUGUGCCCUGGGUGGCCCAAGCAGCUGGAGGAAACCCCCGACCUCCAGCCCACCCCAGCUGGCUUUGCUGGAGAGCCAGCACAUCUACAGGUUGACUGUCCUGUUUAUGCUCCAGGGUGGCCUGGCUGACAGACCUUUCCCGCCCUUCCCCCGCCAGGCAGGCAGUUACUCAAUCAUGGUGGCCUCGGCCAGCUCCUGACUGCAGCCCCCUCCCCAGUCACCUUCUACAUCAGCACCUGUGAGGCUCUCUCCCUGGUCCCCCUGUCCUGUGCUCACCAGAUCUUACUUUUAUCCAUUCUCAUCAGAGUCUAAAACAGCAUUUCUAACAGAUUAAAAGCACUCUAUAAAUAUUUGUCCAACAACUGAGGAUAUUUUUUUACUGUGUUUGCUUAUGCAGGGC
ensembl:lncRNA